rnacentral:rRNA from 1 species
UACGAAGGGGGCUAGCGUUGCUCGGAAUCACUGGGCGUAAAGGGUGCGUAGGCGGGUUAUUAAGUCAGAGGUGAAAUCCUGGAGCUCAACUCCAGAACUGCCUUUGAUACUGGGGAUCUCGAGUCCGGAAGAGGUGAGUGGAACUCCGAGUGUAGAGGUGAAAUUCGUAGAUAUUCGGAAGAACACCAGUGGCGAAGGCGGCUCACUGGUCCGGUACUGACGCUGAGGUGCGAAAGCGUGGGGAGCAAACAGG